GACGAACGCUGGCGGCGUGCCUAAUACAUGCAAGUCGAACGCAGUGGGGACGGGUGAGUAACACGUGGGUAACCUCCCAUCAGAGGGGAUAACACUUGGAAACAGGUGCUAAACCGAUACUGAUGGAUGGACCCGCGGUGCAUUAGCUAGUUGGUGAGGUAACGGCUCACCAAUGCCACGAUGCAUAGCCGACCUGGGAUGGUGAUCGGCCAACCUGGGACUGAGACACGGACCAGACUCCUACGGAAGGCAGCAGUAGGGAAUCUUCGGCAAUGGACGAAAGGCUUACCGGGCAACGCCGCGUGAGGGAAGAAGGUUUUCGGAUCGUAAAACUCUGUUGUUAGAGAAGCGGUAUCUAACCAGAAAGCCACGGGUAACUACGUGCCAGCCGCCGCGGUAAUUC
rnacentral:rRNA from 1 species